GUGGUUGCCCAGGUUGCACGUAUAUUGACGUGUUAGGUUAUGAUCCCCGAAGAGCUAUUGCGUGCGGAGUGCAAUUCAAUAAAUGAUGAAUCAUGGUUAAUUAAAAGUAAAUAGGAGCGAGCCUCCAAAGUAUCAGGAAAUAUCCGGCGAUUUACAGAGCUGCAGUUUAAUUGCAAUCAGAGUUUUACCUCUAGUAUUACUUCAGGAAAAUCAAGUUCAACCUGGAUUGCAAGUUUUCAGGACGUCAUCCUGGACGGACAAGCAGAAUAUAGAUUCUUGCGUAUUUGUUAGGAGGCGUUAUCAUCUUUCAAUGGGGCGAGACACAAGGUCACCGUCUUCUGCUGCCUCAAAUAUUCUCCGCAAAGAGCUUCAAUUUACGGUGAGUCAUAAUAAAAAGCUACCCCCUUUCAUUGCAAAUGACCGAAAUUCUAUUGAUUUUCAUUUCAGAUUUAUUUUGUUCGGGUUCACCACUGUCAGAUUCUUUGGCACUGCGAACUAUCACACCCAAAACCAUGCAGGCGUGACUUUGCAAGAGAUUUAACAAUAUAUUUCACUAGAACGGUCCGGUCGCUUAUAGAGUGGCAAUAUCUGUUUUUCAGUGGUUAUGAUAGGAAAAUAAUGAUGACAGCGUUCUCGAACGUCCUUGAGCACCGUGUGACUAACAAUGACACGAGAUUGAACGAGAUCACAGUCAAAGUAACGAGUCAAUUUUUUUACAUAACGAAGGCGGCGUUAGAACGAGAAGCAAAUUUCUCACGCUACCUUUUCAGUGGACUAUCAUUCCUGUGCUUGUCACAAUUGUGAAAUUUUGUAAACGAAUUGACGGCUGAUGUGGAAGCAAUUGCCGUGGAAAAUGACACCGAGGCUUUGGAUAGCGGGAAUGACGAGAACGGUGGAGACACGAUACUUGAUCCAGACGACGGCUCUGAUUUACUUCGUAUCGUUGAUGAGGAUGAAGAAGAGGAGGAUCUAGAUCUGCUAUAAGAUUCAAUACAUCAUAGAAAUUUGAACCAGUAUAUCCAAGAUUUCCUAACAAAUUUCUUGUCGCAGAACUGCUUCCAAGCUUUCGUUGAGCAUCUGACACCACCGGUUCUCACGAAUUUGAAUAUAAACGCGAGUUAUGCGUGAAAGAGUAAUGAUAAGAAAUGAAAUAUAAAUUAAUCACAAAGCAGACCGCCAUGGAGCAAGUGUCGUUCGUGAUUUCCGUACAAGAAUAAGCACCCGUGACUCCUUUACCGCUCCAGAUUUACCGGAUGCCUUAAACAGUAUUUUCCUUGUCCUCGCGAACAUCCAGGAACCACCGAUUGAACAGUCCACGGUCUCCGACGCCACGUAAACAUCGACAUAAAUACAAAUUCUAAAAAAAAAGAGUUAUAAAAAACGGAAAAAAGUCAAAAAAAGACUCCAACUCGUGAAAGUUGAAAAAAACUUGAUCUCAUCCGCUUUUUUUGUCUACAUAAGAUUUCGACCGAAAUCGUUGUUCGGUAACAGGAGAAUCUAUAAAUCUAUAUACUGAGCUUAGUUAAUCAAUUUUUAUCAGAUAAUGCGCUUUUUUCAAUCUUCUUGAUAAUUUUUUUCUGUAACGACUCAAUGACCGAUUAUAUUUAUUGGUAAAUAAAUUCCAGCUAGGCGUAAGCAUCUAUGUCGACAAUUUCUAUGAAAAAUCAAAUAAAACCUUUCAAAUAUUCAUGAGAA